rnacentral:rRNA from 1 species
GACGGAAGGUGCAAGCGUUGCUCGGAAUCACUGGGCGUAAAGGGUGCGUAGGCGGGUCUUUAAGUCAGGGGUGAAAUCCUGGAGCUCAACUCCAGAACUGCCUUUGAUACUGAAGAUCUUGGGUCGGAGAGGUGAGUGGAACUGCGAGUGUAGAGGUGAAAUUCGUAGAUAUUCGCAAGAACACCAGUGGCGAAGGCGGCUCACUGGCCCGAUACUGACGCUGAGGCACGAAAGCGUGGGGAGCAAACAGGG